UCUUCGUAUAAGCUCAGAUUAGGAAAUUUAUAAAUCCUAACGGACAAAAAACAUCAACCACUAAUGCCACUAUGUCUAAGGCUCUUGCCCCUUGUUCAGCUUUCACUUUUUGCCCUUGAUUCACCUCCACCUUAAAACCUAUUUCAACAGAUCAUAAACUAAAAUAAAAAAGGGAACCUAAGCUAUCAUAGCUUUGAGAAUGAUGGAGAAGAACAAGCAAUAGCUCAAUAAUCAGUGAUGGCUAUACCUAUAAAAGGUAACUUGAGCCAUGGGAGGACUUAGGGAGCUUAAAUGUUGAAGAACACGACAGGAACAAUUUUACAGGUCACCAGAUCAUGAACAGUAGAAGAGAGAACUCCUUGCUAGUGUCCACUUCGGGUUGUUCUGCUACCUUCAUUCUUAGGGUCGUUUUUUCCACAGUCUAGUUAGGAGCUGAGGAUGAAGAGCUGAAUCUUAAUGUAAUCUCAUUGUCCAAUUCAAAAUAAAAUCAGAGAUAAGUCUCUUAGUGUACGAUUUAAACAGGAAGGUAGACAUAACCAGAGUUCGUGAAAAUAGUCUCUCGGCUAUGGAAUUUUCAAAUCAUUAUGUAUUUACGUUUUUGGAAAGAUAAAACAAGAAUGCGAGGUGUAAAUAUUUUCAAUGGAUUAUAUUGAUGAAUUAGAUAAUAAGGAAGUUAUGGUUGGAGAAGAAUUCUUUGGGAAUAGCAAAGGCAGGGUAUGUACAUGAAAAUUUCAAAGGCAUAAGAUGUGCGAGCUUGGGAGACCUUGAUACUAGCAGAAGUUACAUGAGAAGGAGAGUUGAAUAACGCUUAGAUAUUUUUCUUAAAAUUUAUG
rnacentral:lncRNA from 1 species